SCARKKCGCCCUUAGAGUUUGAUCCUGGCUCAGAACGAACGCUGGCGGCGUGCUUAACACAUGCAAGUCGAACGUGAUCCAGAGCUUGCUCUGGUGAAAGUGGCGCACGGGUGAGUAACGCGUGGAUAACCUGCCCUGGUAUCUGGGAUAACAUCUCGAAAGGGGUGCUAAUACCGGAUAAGCCUACGGGCUCUUCGGAGUCUGCAGGAAAAGGAGGCCUCUAUUUAUAAACUUCCGUAUCAUGAUGGGUCCGCGUACCAUUAGCUAGUUGGUGGGGUAAUGGCCUACCAAGGCGACGAUGGUUAGCUGGUCUGAGAGGAUGAUCAGCCACACUGGAACUGAGACACGGUCCAGACUCCUACGGGAGGCAGCAGUGGGGAAUUUUGCGCAAUGGGGGAAACCCUGACGCAGCAACGCCGCGUGAGUGAUGAAGGCUUUCGGGUCGUAAAGCUCUGUCAGAGGGGAAGAAAUGAAACGUGCUAAUAUCACGUUUUCUUGACGGUACCCUCAAAGGAAGCACCGGCUAACUCCGUGCCAGCAGCCGCGGUAAUAC
rnacentral:rRNA from 1 species